rnacentral:rRNA from 1 species
UACAGAGGUCUCAAGCGUUGUUCGGAUUCAUUGGGCGUAAAGGGUGCGUAGGUGGCUCUGUAAGUCGGGUGUGAAAUUUCGGAGUUUAACUCCGAAACUGCAUUCGAUACUGCGGUGCUUGAGGACUGGAGAGGAGACUGGAAUUCAUGGUGUAGCAGUGAAAUGCGUAGAGAUCAUGAGGAAGACCAGUGGCGAAGGCGGGUCUCUGGACAGUUCCGGACACUGAGGCACGAAGGCCAGGGGAGCAAACGGG